GCUUGCUUAACUCAGUUGGUUAGAUUUUGGUGUUGAUAACGCCAAAGUCACAGGUUUGACCCCUUUAGUGAGCA